rnacentral:lncRNA from 1 species
CCUCAUCACCCAAAUCCACCAGAGCCUUCUAGAGGAAGCAUUCUCCCCACUGGUGGCGUGGUGGGGCCAGGGCCUCGACAGGGACUGUUGUAAUCAUCCAGGUGGGAAAUGACAGAGAGGUGGUGAGAGGCGGGUGGGCUCUGGAAGAAGUUGGAAUCCUGCUGACAAGAUGCUCCAGUGGUUUGGACAUGGGUCUGAAAAACUCCAGGACGGCUAUCCAAGGUUUCGGCCUCAGUGAAUGAAGGGAUGGGGUUGCCACUGACUGAGGAAGAGAAUGUAUUCUAUUGCAUAUUUAAUUAAUUACUUUGAUGUGAAAAGUCCAAAUAACAACUAUGUCUGGAACUGAGCAGGGCAUCCGUGGGACCACCGCCCACAGGCACCCAGGGCUUAUGGCACCACCCACCCCCGUCGUGGGAGGCCCCAGAGACCCCGGCAGAGAAAGAGGGAGGCUCACCCUCUUGCUGUGGUGUGUGUGGGAGGGGCAGUGUGAAAAGGUCUGGCCCACCUGAGUCCCCUGGGCUGGUAGGAGAACUGGGGCCGGGCAGGGGGUGGUGUUGGAACAGGAGGGGUGGUGUGUGAGCCUCUGUGGGCAAAGACCCACCGUGGCCCACAGAGGCUCUUUCUCCUCAGACCCGGUGUGCUGUUACCAGAGCCUUCUAGAGGAAGUGUUCUCCGAGCUGAGGGCGGCUCUUUGAUUCUCCAGGCCACAAACCCCCGCAGCCCGGCCUGGCCAGAGGCGUGCCUGUGCAUCCCGGCAAGUGAGCGCCCAGGGACUCUCGGCCAGAGAGGCUGUGAGGGUGGCUUUGUGAGGAUGGCUUUGUGUGGCUGCACAUUGCCCUUGGCCAAGCCCCGCUGCCAGGAGAGGCAGCUCGGCUGCCAAACCUCCUGAACCCAAGUUACCUGAGCAAGCAGCCCUAUCCCCUCGCCUGCUUCUCACUGCCUCGCCUGCCUUGGGCCUGCCCGACCCAGGGGGUCACAUGCCUUGUUCCCCAUCAGUGGAGACCAGGGACAAGAAGACAGUUCUGUGGGAAGAGCCAGGAGGACCAUUUGGGAAAAUACAGGUUCCAGGUGUGUCUCCAGACCUUGAGAGUUGGUGUCUCCUGGGAAGAGGCCCUGAUGAGAUCUGGGGAGAUUCGGAUCUGAUGAGAUUCAGGAAGCCCUGGCCUCUCCGUACUUGAGGAGACGGGACACACAGGACAAGCUGCAGGCUGGUGAGCAGGUUCACCUUCUAUUUUGAAGACCCGCUUCUUCCUCAGGUACCUGAUCUUGAAAACGACCUCCCCUUUCAGUUCUGGAGGCCAGAAGCCCAAAAUCAGUCUCGCUGGGCUAACGUGAAGGUGUCAGUCGGGCUGGUUCCUUCUGGAGGCUCCAGAAAAGAAUCUGUUUUCUUGCCUUUUCUGGCUCAGUUUCUCGGCUUGUGGCUCCUUCCUCCAUCUUCAAAGAGCACCACUCCAAUCUGCUCCUCCAUCAGGUCACCUUCUGCCUGACUCCUACAUCCCUUUCAGAAGGACCCUUGUGAUUCCAUGAGGUCCACCCAGAUCACGCAGGAUAAUGUCCCCGUCUCAAGAGGCUUAAUCUAAUCACAGGUGAAAGCCCUAUACGAGGUGUCAUGGACAGAUUCUGGGCCUAAAGACAUGAACAUCUGUGGGGGCAUCACUCAGACUUCCACGGGUGACAAGGGCCCCAUGGUGGGAGGGGAGAAGAGGAGGAAACGGGAGAGUGAGGAUUCACCAGGAGACUGGCCCGAGAAAGGAGACACGGAUUGGACAGGCUCAGCCAGUGGAAGACCGUCCUGCCUGGAGGGAAGUGGCUUUUAGGAGUUUUUUCCUGAGCCUGUUGUGUCUCCUUCCCUCCUUUCUCCCCCAAAUCCAACUAGAAAACUAGAAACAUAAUCUGUUGUGUUGACUCCAUAGGUCUUGCUUCCCCUCAACCCAGACACCGACUCGCCCAAGGGUCUUCCAGCUGGCUGAGUUGGAACCUGCAUUUUUUAACCACAAGGAAAAGAAGCCCAGAGCUACCAAGAAUAAUAUUUUAUUGACUUGGAAUGAGUUUUGGAAUCUGUAUUUUUAACAAGCUGCCCAGUGAAAACCAUUUCCUCCUCGUCGUGGCGCAGGUCCAGAGGCUGCGCCCAUCUCUCCCACGUCAACAGUCCUGUGUCCUUGGCGAAGGACUGUUCUCUCAUUCAGUGCCUUUCCUCUCUUCCUGGGCCAAAUCCCUGCUUUGCGUCUCCCUGCAGCUCAUAAAAAGCUGAAUUACCUGAGGCAGGGAAAGCCCCACCCACUGUCAUUCUCAGGGAGGAGUGGAGUCUGCAGAGGCCGCAAUGCACAGCUUCCCUAUCCCCCUCCACCCGUGUUUUCCCAGAGCAGCUCUGUUCCAGGCCCGGGGGUGUCCCUGGGCCGAGAUGGAAUCCAGCCCUGACCACCUCCCAAAGCCAACAGCCCUGAGUGAGCGUGCAGAGAAGCAAGAGCUGUUCCUGAUGCAGAGCAAAGACAUCUCCCAGUCAAGGGGGAUGAACUGAUUUGGGACAAAAGGCAGUUGUUGGCUGAGGAAGGCAGGAUCUGGGGGAGCCCUGUGCUGAGUGGAGGUGGGUGGGUGUAUUUCCUUGGCUCACAGAGGCCUCUUGUCUGGUGGGAUCAGCUCCUCCAGCCAGUUGCCACCUGGUCCAGCUUUGGGAGAUGUGGAGAAUGACUUUCGCAGUGAUUUCCACUGGGCCAUGGCAUUGAAACAGCUGCAGGAGGGGACACAGCUGGUGCCACCCCUACUCCGUCCAUUAGAGCUGCUGUGAAGGAAUGCCACCCUCCCCAUGGGGAGUGAGGGGGCCCUACUUGCUGUGGUUGGUUCCAGGGACCAUGGGAAGAGGCAAACCCCUAUUUUCAAGGGCACAAGUUGGCUUUUAUUAAAAUAAAAUUUCAUCAUCACUUAUUCCAGUGGCUCCCAAACUUGGCUAAACAUCAGGAUCACCCAGGAUGUUUGUUAAAAAAUAAAGAUUAUGGCCGGGUGCAGUGGCUCACGCCUGUAAUCCUAGCACUUUGGGAGGCCCAGGCGGGCAGAUCACUUGAGGUCAAGAAUUCGAGACCAGCCUGGCCAACAUGGGGAAAUGCUGUCUCUACUAAAAAUACAAAAAUUAGCUGGGUGUGGUGGUGCAUACCUGUAACCCCAGCUACUCGGAGGCAGAGGCAGGAGAAUUGCUUGAACUUGGGAGGCAAAGGUGGCAGUGAGUCGAGAUAGCGCCACUGCACUGCACUCCAGCCUGGGUGACAGUGCGAGACUCUUGUCUCAAAAAAAAAAAAAAAAAGAUUAAUAAAAAUAAAGAGUUUUAGAACUCAUCCUAGACGGAAUCAAUCAGAAUCUCUUUGGGUAGGCUUGGGCUGGAAUCAGUGCGAAAUCUGACUAAUCAGAUUGCUUUCCUGAUUCCAGACGGUUGAGCCCAUAGAACAGGAGUGAGAAGAUGGAAGGGCGAGGGGGCUGGGAUGAUGAAAACUUGCGCCUGCAGCCACCAUUCAUUACAGAGCGCCGGGGGCCAGCUGCAGAACUGUAGACUCCUCAUACAUCAUCGUGUUGAGUCUUCAAAACAAACCUAUGAGGCUGGAGUGCAGCAGCGCGAUCUCGGCUCACUGCAACUUCCACCUCCUGGUUUCAAGCAAUUCUCCCGCCUCAGCCUCCCGAGUAGCUGGGAUUACAAGCACCCGCCACCAUGCCCGGCUAAUUUUUAUAUUUUUAGCAGAGGCGGGAUUUCUCCAUGUAGCCCAGGCCGGUCUCGAACUCCUGACCUCAAGUGAUCCACCCACCUCAGCCUCCCAAAGUGCUGGGAUUACAGGUGUGAGCCACCAUGCCCCGCCAGCCAUCAGAGUUUUAUAGCAAGAAUUUUUACCUUUGUCCUUAGUGCAAUGGGAAAUCCUUGAAACGCUAUUAUUGCCUUCCUCUGCAAGGAAAGGUUAUUUUGGUGAGCAGUGGAUAGAGGAAAUGCAGAGGGAGCCACUAAAGGGUUCUGGUGAGAUCUGGAGCCCUGCUGGGAUAAUCUGACCAGAGAAAGCAAAGAUUCCAGAGAGCUAGGCACACUUGCCCUACCUCCAGCUGCACACAGCUGGUUCCAGCUUUGUCCUGACCUUCAGUCUGGCAUACAGGGUAGACCCACUGGUACCUGGUACCUCACUCUGGGGGUGAGGUGGCCACCCACCUAGGUCUGGGUCCUGUAGCAGUUUGGCAGCAACAUCUGGGUGAUAAGAGAAGGCGAUUUGACCUACUCCCAGGGACAAGAAGCUUUGACUCUUCAAGAUCAUAAAGUCUUCCCUCCUGGCCUUGGGUCCUCCUGUUGCGGGAGAGAGGACAAAAUCCGUUCCUCACCUGGACACAAUGAACCUGUCUGUGGGAUUUAGGGAGCAUCAAGGAGGGAAUUUAGUUUCCGCAGACUUCAAGGAAGACUUUCUGGAGGAGGUGAUGCCUGAGAGCUAUCCAGGAGAGAAGAGUGAAAAAAUGUUAAGCAGUGGAAAAACAUGAACCAAACUGUGGCUGCAUCUUCCCAUAGGGCAACAGGGACUUAGCGCGUGCAAUCAAGGAUCUCCAGAUGGGGAUAACCCAGGUGUGCCCAACCUAAUCUCAGUGUCCUUGGAAGAGGGAUGCAGAAGGAGUCAGAAUCAGAGAAGAAGGUGACACGAUGAAGGAAUCCGAAAUUAGAGUGAUGCUCUUUGAAGAUGGAGGAAGGGACCACAAGCUGAGAAAUAGAGGUGGCCACUAGACACUGAAAAAGGCAAGGAAGUGGAUUCUCCCCUGGAGCCUCCAGAAGGAACCAGCUCUGCCGACACCUUGACAUUAGCCCAUUGAGACUGAUUUAAGGGCUGCUGGCCUCCAGAAUUGUAAGAGAAUAAACGUGUGUUGUUUAAGGCCCUUGGUUAGUAGCGAUUUGCUACAGCAGCUGCAGAAACCUAAUAAGUAUAGGUUCCACCUAGAGACGCAGAACUAGCCAGCGGCCGAUCCUGCUCCGGGACCCUGCAGGCCCCAGCUCUAUGGAAUCCUGUCGCACACGGGAUGGACGUGGGCUAGAGGCGGAGGAAGGGGAGGAAGUGAAGAUCUUCAGACUAAGAUGGAUGAAGCUGAAUUCAGAUCUCAGCUCCAAGGUGAAUGAGCAAACAGCACAGAAAAAGAAACAGCAGUAUAUGUGGAAGAAAGCAAGAAAAAUCAACUGGCCUGGAACCUAAGACUUGUCCAAAGAUGUCACAGAGAGUAAAAUGAGAAAAAUCCAGUAGCCCGUGCCCAGAGCAGUUCCUCGUACCCAGAUCUCGUUUGAUUCUCAAAACCACCCUAGAGGAGACAGGAGGCACCUGAGGCCCAGAGACGUGAAGCCACCUGUCCAAGGCCAUACAGCAGAUAACUUAUUCUGGAGGAAGACACCUGCCAUGCCGUGAGGACAGUCAAGCAGUUCUGUGGAGAGAUCCAUGUGGUGAGAAACAGGGGCCUCCUGUCAACAGGAAGAACAACCUGGCAGGCCUGUCUUGGAUUCAGAGCCUCCAGCCCCAGUCGAGCCUUCAGAUAACUGCACCCUUGGCUGUCAUCUCAACUGCAAUCUCACGACAGACCCUGAGCUGGAACUACUCUGUUUACCAAUGCCUGGCCCACAGAAAGACUAUGAGAUAAAACAAGUAUAUUGUUUUUAGAAGAUAUGUUUUGGAGUAAUUUAUUAUGCUACAAUAGAUAAUACAGAAUUUGGUGAUUUUAUGAUUCUCAACUCCUGGCCAAAGCAAAGCACACAACAAGUCUCAAAGAAAAGUCUCACAAGUGGAAUUGAAAGUACAAAGCUGGCCAGACAAGCUUGUGCAGACAUGUAUGUGGUGGAGUUGAAAAUCACACACUACGACUCACACAAAGACGGAGUCUUGCUAUGCUUCCCAGGCUGGCCUCAAACUCCUGGCCUCAAGUGAUCCUCCCGCCUUAGCCUCCCAAAGUAAGCCUGGCCAUCCUCUGUUCUUUUGAGACUCAAA